rnacentral:rRNA from 1 species
AGAGUUUGAUCAUGGCUCAGGACGAACGCUGGCGGCGUGCUUAACACAUGCAAGUGGAGCGACGAACCGGGGCUUGCCCCGGGGCAGAGCCGCGAACGGGUGAGUAACACGUGGGUUACCUGCCCCAAUGACCGGGACAACCCGAGGAAACUCGGGCUAAUACCGGAUGUGGUCUUCGGACGAAAGGAAGCUUCGGCCUCCGCAUUGGGAUGGGCCCGCGGCGCAUUAGCUAGUUGGUGGGGUAACGGCCUACCAAGGCGACGAUGCGUAGCUGGUCUGAGAGGACGAUCAGCCACACUGGGACUGAGACACGGCCCAGACUCCUACGGGAGGCAGCAGUGGGGAAUCUUGCGCAAUGCGCGAAAGCGUGACGCAGCAACGCCGCGUGGGGGAAGAAGGCCUUCGGGUUGUAAACCUCUUUCAGUUGGGACGAAGGCCUCGCGGUUAAUAGCCGUGGGGGUUGACGGUACCUUCAGAAGAAGCCCCGGCUAACUACGUGCCAGCAGCGGCGGUAAUAC